rnacentral:rRNA from 1 species
AGUAACACGUGGGUAAUCUGCCCUGCACUCUGGGAUAAGCCUGGGAAACUAGGUCUAAUACCGGAUAUGACAUGUCACCGCAUGGUGGUGUGUGGAAAGUUCUGGCGGUGCAGGAUGAACCCGCGGCCUAUCAGCUUGUUGGUGGGGUAGUGGCCUACCAAGGCGACGACGGGUAGCCGGCCUGAGAGGGCGACCGGCCACACUGGGACUGAGACACGGCCCAG